rfam:Heterorhabditis bacteriophora unplaced genomic scaffold Scaffold514, whole genome shotgun sequence.
CAUCUCUGGCUCCCCUGCAUUUGACCGAGAAAAUCUUUCCCCUUUUACUAAAGAUUUCCGUGCCGAGGGGCAAUUAGGAGUAUCAGUCAAUUUUUGGCAUCCCCUCGAAAGAGCGGGA